rnacentral:rRNA from 1 species
CUUUCUUUGCUGGCGACCGGCGCACGGGUGAGUAACACGUAUCCAACCUGCCCUUUACUCGGGGAUAGCCUUUCGAAAGAAAGAUUAAUACCCGAUAGCAUAAUGAUUCCGCAUGGUUUCAUUAUUAAAGGAUUCCGGUAAGGGAUGGGGAUGCGUUCCAUUAGGUUGUUGGUGGGGUAACGGCCCACCAAGCCUUCGAUGGAUAGGGGUUCUGAGAGGAAGGUCCCCCACAUUGGAACUGAGACACGGUCCAA